rnacentral:rRNA from 1 species
GGACUACUGGGGUAUCUAAUCCCGUUCGCUCCCCUGGCUUUCGCCCCCGAGCGUCAGGUACCAGCCAGGACACUGCCUUCGCCUUUGGUGUUCUUCCGGAUAUCUACGCAUUUCACCACUACACCCGGAGUUCCAUGUCCCUCUCUGGUCCUCAAGUCCUGCCGUCUUCACACCGCUCUCCCAGUUAAGCCAGGAGCUGUCAGCGCGAACUGACCGGACCGCCUGCGGGCGCUUUACGCCCAGUAACUCCGGACAACGCUCGUCCCCUACGUAUUACCGCGGCGGCUGGCAC